CCUACGGGAGGCAGCAGUGAGGAAUAUUGGUCAAUGGACGAGAGUCUGAACCAGCCAAGUAGCGUGAAGGAUGACUGCCCUAUGGGUUGUAAACUUCUUUUAUAUGGGAAUAAAACGUUCCACGUGUGGGAUUUUGUAUGUACCAUAUGAAUAAGGAUCGGCUAACUCCGUGCCAGCAGCCGCGGUAAUACGGAGGAUCCGAGCGUUAUCCGGAUUUAUUGGGUUUAAAGGGAGCGUAGGUGGAUUGUUAAGUCAGUUGUGAAAGUUUGCGGCUCAACCGUAAAAUUGCAGUUGAAACUGGCAGUCUUGAGUACAGUAGAGGUGGGCGGAAUUCGUGGUGUAGCGGUGAAAUGCUUAGAUAUCACGAAGAACUCCGAUUGCGAAGGCAGUUCACUGGACUGCAACUGACACUGAGGCACGAAAGUGUGGGUAUCAAACAGGAUUAGAUACCCAAGUAGUC
rnacentral:rRNA from 1 species